ACAUCCAUCACCUUAUAUAGCUACAGAGAAUUUUUUUUCCUUGUGAUGAGAACCCUUAAGAUUUACUCUCUUAGCAGUAUACAAAUACUGUAUUAUAUAUCUUUCACACAUACAAUACAGUUUUGUUAGCUGUAGUCAUGUUUUACACUACAUCCCCAGAACUUAUUUAUAACUCAAAGUUUGUACCUUUUGACCACCUUCACCCAUUUCUGCCCCGCCUCAGCCCCUUCCUCUGGCAAAAAUAGUCUCUACGUUUCUAUGUUGUGUUUCUAUGUUCUUUUUAGAUUCCACAUAUCAUUGAGAUCAGAGUAUUUGUCUUUUUCUGCCUGACUAAUUUUACUUAGCAUAGUGCCUUCAAGGUCCAUCCUUAUUGUCACAAACUGACAGAAUUUCCUUCUUGUUUUCUUUUUUGCCACGCCAUGCAGCCGGCAGGAUCCUAGUUCCCUGACCAAGGAUAGAACCUAUGUCCCCUGCCGUGGAAGUGCAUAGUGUUCAUCACUAGACUACCAGGCAAGUCCCACUCCUUUUUAAUGGUUGAAUAAUACUCAAAUGCACAUAUAUACCAUGUCUGCUUUAUCCGUUCAUCCAUUGAUGAACACUUAAAUUGUUUCCAUCUCUUGGCUAUUGUAAAUAAUUCAACUACACUUUAAAGAGUAUGUUUUUUAUAAUUAAUCCAGAAUUUAGUAUUCUCAGGCGAGGAUUUUCAUAGUUGCAAUCCAUAAUCUUACCAGAAGAGCAACCCCCACAUGUGUAUUGAUCUAUUCAUUUUUCAUACCCCACCUAAUUCCAAAAUUAUCUUAGGUGGCCUACAGAUAUUGGUGUGGUGGAGUCAUCUGGUACUGGCUUAUGAGAAAUUUAUUGUUAAACUUUUAAGAAUCUUGCAAGCCGUCUAUUAAACACAGCCGUCAUUAAAAAUUAAAUUAUAUAAACUUACAAUUAAACAAAUUAUUAAAAAUGUAAUAAAUACUCAAAUUCAUCACUUUCUAAUUAUGUUUCACUGUUAGUUAUAUUGUUGAGGUUAUUUAUGUCCAUUGUAUCUGCAUGGUGAAAAUGCUACAGAAAGGUGUCCUACUGCACAUCUCUUCCUAAAUCCACGUUUGACAGCCUCAUGUUAGUAUCUUGAAAUUGGCCAUGGUAGGAGUAUUUACACCAGGGAAAUGGGCACACAUUACAAAUCAACCCUUUAUUUAUUUCUUUAUGGAUUCUCUAAGUUUCAUAUAGUGAUGAAGAGAAUGAGAACAGUGCAGAGUAAAUACUCGUGUGUCAUAUCCACAGCAGUUACAUUCUGAAUAGCACAGAAAGGUGAGGGAAUACUCUUCCAGUGUUUGGAAGCAGUUAACGAAUUUAGCAAAAAAGUUGCUUACAUGGGGAAGAGUGAGUGGAUUUCUGACACAUGACAUAGGUCUUUGUUGUUUCACUUUUGUCUCCCUUGUUAAAGUAAAUGGAAAUAUCAACCAACAUUCAUGUCUAAACUAUUCUUAUUUAUUGAUUGCAACCACAGGUUGGCUGUGGAUAAAGGAUUUGACAAAAAUGAACAAAAGCAUUGUAUGGGAAUCAGUUGGCUGCUUGGAAUUGACAAUAAGUAUUGUGUAUUUUACUAUUAUUCGUUUGCUGUGUAUUAUACAUCCUUUAUAGCAGCACGUUUGUAAUAUACAUGUACAUUGUUUUCAGAGAGCUGGGUGUGGAACAUUCACCAGCACACCUCUGCUUACAGGGACAUGUAUAGAUACACUAAGGUAAGAUUUGAGGUAGAUGAGAAAGAUAAAAGGAACAGCAAGGAGGGGGCCUCACUAGAGCCGGAGAUGAUGCUAACAGACAAUUCCAUAUUAUGGAGGGCAGACAUGGGGCAUGGUGGGCUGCAGGUUUGCCUCUAAGCUUCCCAGCACAUCUUAUUAAUAUAUAAAGGGAAAUUUGAUCAUGUACCAGUUUUUCAGUGUUUGGGUCAGAAAUUGUGGCAUUUCUCCUAAGCUAAGUCUGGAAGGAAUUUUACUCUGAGGGUGUGUGUAGAGGAACUGUGUUUUUCUAAAUAUCAAUAAUAUCCUUAAAGCAAACCCUCACUUAGAGUCAAAGGAAUACUUCUGGGAGAACCCUUCUCUGAAGGCCGGACACUUCCUGCCAAAGUGCAUUUCUGUAAGAUACACUAUUGAGGUAUUUGUGGAUGAAAUCAUAAGAACUCUGGGACUUGUUCUAAAAUUCUCCACAAAACAAAGGAAUAAACAAACAUCUGUUGAAAUGAAUAAUUGAAGCAAAAAGAGUGAAAUACUGAUAAAUAUUGAAGCUGGAUGAUGGGCAAUUGGGGAUUCAUUGAACUCUUGGCUGUAAUCUUAUUAAUGUAGUCUGUUAUAACAGCUCCUCCUCUCUUCUCCCCUACAUACCUUAUCUCCACUUCUCCCUCCUUGCUAUUCCUGUGGUAGAACAACUGGGUCUUUUGUCCUUCCCACAUUGUGGAUUUGGCUGUUGCUACCUCAUGGUGACAAAAAAAUAUUACCUAACAGAAAUCCACUAAACUUAGAAAUUAAUCCUACAGGAAUGAGACAGGUCAGGGAUGUUUUAAUGAAAACAGAAGGGAAGAAAAAUGAGUCAUCUGACCCAAAGAAAGGAAUGGCAGUAACAGGGCCACAACCCACAGGGAAGGUGAGGAAAGUGGGGGCUGAAAAGCUGAGGACCUGCAAAGAGAAGCACUGGAGAUAACCUUUGCCUGCUGCUGAUUUCUUAGUUCUUUGUCUUCUAGCACCUUCCCUUCCUCACCCUGCCACCUCAACCCUCAGGCAGAGGGGUAGGGCAGGGGCAGCAGGGGAGGAAGGUGUCAGGGGCAUUUUCCUCAUUCUGGUUGCACUGUUGAGCUAAAACUUAAGGGAUUUGACAAAAAUUAUUUUUCUUGAACCACAUGCUUUUUAAGGGAAAAAAAGUCAAAUACAUUUAAAAUCAAAUCAGUUUUGAAGGGGCAGCAUCUUUAUCAUCUCCCAUCCUUGGGAUUCAUUUCACAUUCAAAUAAAUAAAAAACUACUUGCAAAAAAGCAAAUUACACCUAGAUUUACCCACAAGUGGCAUUUCAUGCCAUGACUUAAUGGCACUUCAUCAACAUGAGCUUUUCUGGGCUCACUGAUUAGUUCUUGGAAUAUGGAAAGUGCCUUACCAUAAUUUUUCAUUAGUUCACAGGUUAUGUCAUUUGGGACCAUGUAAAGUAGCUAAUGUUUUGGUGGUUUUCAAAACCCUGUAUAGCCAAGAAAUUCAAGCACCACGUGCCAGUGACUUCGGGACCAUUUAGACAUCUGAGAUAUGACUGUGAUUAAAGGUUAGUUGUAACAGUAUUAUGAUGUUUUAGAAUCUUUGAAAUGUAUGAGUGCUUAUUUUACUAAUGAUGAUGAGCAUCAGCCCCAGGCCUGUCCUGUGGCUCUGCUGCAGCCAGAAGCUGUGGUUCCCUGCCCAGGCUCACUCACUCCAAGCCCUGCCCCUCAGCUCUUCUCUCUGCUGAGGCGAUGCCUCUGCUGUCCAGGCCUCACAGAGGAGCCUUCCCCAUGCUCUCCAGGGAUAACUGGUAGCAGUCUGCACCCAGGAGAUGCUUGACAACUGAGAAAAUUGAUCUUCCUAGAGAAUUGCCUGGAGGGUUUGUCUGACCUAUCAGUGGGUCUUACCUAGUUUCUAAAAAAUUGAAAUGCAACAGGAUGAAAUAGAAUGGGAAACCAUCAGAGCAUGUGAUAAAGAUAAGUACUAUCUUAUGAAAGCUUUGUUUCAAUUAUUUAUGUGGGUAUAUGUGUGUACUGACACAUAAUGUGAAAUGUAUUUUUAAAUGUGGUUCAAGUCAAAAGGUCUUGAAGAGUGCUGCUCUCAGAAUGUGUAAUUUACCACUGGAGCAAGCCAGACUAGUAAGACUGUUGCUUAGACACAUCACAGUGGCUCUGAAAGAGUGCUUAAACAUUUCCAUAACAAGUUUAAAACAAUGCACACCUUUCCUCUCGUACCUUUACCUUUCUGAGAUAUAUGUGAGCUUAGUGAAUUCCUCUGUUCAGGUAACAAGAGUUAGCAUAUAUUCAGUAUUCAUUCCAUCCACAAACAUUUACUGAGACUGUUCCAGGCACUGAGAAUAUAAUGAUGGGGGGAAAAGUGGAUAGGAAUCCCUAUUUUAGUGAAACUUGUAUUCAAAAGUAGAGGACGAGGCAGGCUAUAAACACGGUAAAUCAGUGAAAUAGAAAAUGUUAAAUGGUUACAAAUGCCAGGGCAAAAAAGUGAAUCCUCCUUUGGGAGGAUAAGGGGGAUAUAUUCUCAAUUUUUCUGCAUAACAUAUUACUACAAACUUGACCAGUUAAAACAGCAUGUUUAUUACCUUACAGUUUUUAUGGUUUGAGGAAUCUGGACACAGCUUCAUCGGAUCCUCUGCCCAGUGUCUUAUAGGACUGCAAUCAACAUGCCACCUGGGCUGAAGUCUCAUUUGAAGAAUUAACUGGAGAAUCAUAUUCUUGCAAGCUCAUUCAGAUUUCCAGGUGAACUCAUUCUCCAAGACACCGUUACAUCAGAAGAAAAUAUCCAAUGAAACUCUCGGAAUCAUUUAAAACAGAUGCGGCCUUCAUCUGCGGUUGCCGGCAACCCUCCCCCAGGGCGGUGGACAGACUUCAGCUUUCCUGGAUCUCUGGGCUGCCGGGGUGAUAUGCCACCAGUGUGGCCCAGCAGGAGGGCGCCUACACUGGAUUGGUCUACAGAGAGGACUGCUGAUCUCAAAUUCACCUUCAAAUGACGCUCAAACAGAGGAGAAACUACACUCAGACCAGGAUGAGAAAACGACACUUCAGGAGACAGCUGACUGAAUAUGCUGGACCUAACCCGCUGCAAGACUCUUCACUUGAGGCUUUCAACUCUAUUGUCCUCUUGUCAAACAACUAAACUAUACCUCUGCCUGAUGGGAAUUAAACAGCUGGUGCUCAGGAUACUGCACUUACAGAGAGAGGGAAGAGGCAACCCAAGGAAGCGGUUUACAUGUGCCCUCUUGUGGUGGACCUGAUCGCCCUGUUUGACGUUCUGACUUCAGGUUGGGGAGGUAAGGCUUAUUUACAUGUGAACUCCUGUGAGGGGCAGAGUAUGGGAAGCCUUAUUAUAUCAGGUCACAUUAAAGAGAAACUGCCCUCUGAAACAUUUGCCUUUUAGUAUGUGUAGCUACAAAUAAGAAUGCAUGGAUAAUUAAGUGAAGGUAAAAAUUAAAAUGGCAGAGAAGAUAGGCAAGCCUUGGAAUUUUCCUAGGUUAUCAACCAUGGACAAGGAAAAUAAACAUCUAGACAAAAAAGCAAACCCAAUAGAAAUAAAAGGAGAAAUAAUAAGAUAAGCAGAAAAGAAUGCUAAAAAGAUCUGUAUUCUUUAAUGAAAAUAAAUGGGCUAUAAUAAUGAUUUUUUAAUAUUAGAGAUUCACUGUAAUCUGAGAAAUGUAGGAGGAAUACUUUGUUCUGUCAAGGUGAAAAUGUAAUGGAAAGAGGGUUCUUAAAAAGACAACAAAAUGAGUGAAAUAUAACACUGCUGUCAAGGAAACUUCUGUCUCUGAGCCUGAGAGGAGAGGAAAGCCUUCUCAUAAAGGAACUGCAACAAUGCCAAUCUCAAUUUAACAAAUUGUGGUCCUUCAAUUUAUAAAGUUUGUAUUGUAGAUGAAAACUGAUUAAGAUCUAUGAGCUAAACUGCAAAAUUCUGACUUAUGGCAAACUGUUCCCUAGAAUACAAUUUUUAAAACCUUUUUUUCUACCACUGAAAUGUACAGAAACGUGAUUACAGAAAUGGCAGUACAAAUGGCAUCACACCAGUGAAUUCACUAGGUUUCUAACUCACCCUGCAAGUGUGCAGGGAACACUGCUUCUAAGACUGGUGACGGGUGCCACGAGUGAGCCGUGGAAACAGGUCAUGGGCGAACAGUUCUGAAUGUUUCAAAGAAACCUUUUAACCCCUGUCUAGAUAUGUCAAGAACAAUUUAUUUACAACUCUUCAGAUCAAUUAAAAGAUAUAAUCUUGUCUCAGUUUCAGCUUGCUCCGUGCAGUUUGAUUUUUAAGGCGAUAUUCCAGUUUGUGAUUGCUCUUAACUUGUCCAGUUUCUUGAAACAAAGUUUGGAUGACAUCCAAAUCCUUCAUGCAGUGGGGGAAAUUUUUUUUCUUUUCUUUUUUUUUCUUUUACUAAAGCUACACUGCACUCUCUGUGAUGUUCUUCAUGUUAUUUUGGUUCUUCCGUAGCUGCCAAAGCCCCCACUGUGUAACAGGGGGCUUUAGGAUCAGUUUAGGUCUGCACUGCGGACACCGUCCGGACCAUGCUUGUUGGACACGUGGGGCUUCACGUCGGUGCUCCCAAGCCUUGGUGCCUCGUGGAUUUAUGCAUGUGACAGUGGAAAUAAAUUAAAACGCCGAGAGACGGAACCUAAGAAGAACGGCCUGCAGGAACCUGAGGUUGAUUGGAGACAAGAUGGCAGAGUAAAAGGACCUUUCAUGAGCAUGCUGGUCACAACUAACUGCUGAACAGCCAUUGAUAAAAGACAGGAAUCUACCAGAAAAGGAUAUUCUGCAUCGAAAGACAUAAGAAGAAACCACGAGAUAGCGGUAGGAGGGGCACGCUCACGAUAUAAUCAAAUCCCUUACCACCCGGGUGGGAGACCCACAAACUGGAGAAUAAUUACAUUACAAAAGUCCUCCCACAACCUAGAAGAAAUAGGCAUAUUCUUAGAAAGGUACAGUCUCCCACGACUGAACCAGGAAGAAGUUAAAAAAAAAAAAAAAAAAAAAAGAACAGCCCAAUGACAAGUACUAAAAUUGAAUCUGUGAUUUAAAAACUCCCAACAAACAAAAGUCCAGGACCAGAUGGUUUCAUAGGCGAAUUCUACCAAACAUUUAGAAAAGAGUUAAUUAACAUCUAUCUUGAAACUAUUUCAGACGAAGGAAAACUUCCAAACUCAUUCUAUGAGGCCACCAUCACCCUGGAUUGAAAGACUCAAUAUUAUCCAAAUGGACUAUAUUCUCUUACAAAGUGCAGUUCCUAUCAAACUUUGGUUUCCCACCUGGGCUCCUACCAUGACCCAGUCUUCUCUUUACUUGUCCUCUUCCCCACCUCUGGUCUCUAUGCAGCAGCCACAGCAAUGUCUCUGAGACAUAAAUUUGAUCAUGCCAUUCCUUUGCUUAAAACUUUUGGUGGCUUCUCACUGCUCUUAAGACUAAGAUCAUUAACAAGGCCCACAAAAGCAUGCCUCGUCUGGCUCCGGCCAGCCUCCCCAGCUUCACCUCUAUUCAUCCCCCUUUCCUCAUCCACACUGGUCUUUGUGCAGUUACUCAAACACACAAGCUCAUUCUGUAUUCUGGGACCAUACAUCAUUGCCGGCUCCUCUGCACCCCCCAGUGAUUCACAUGGUGAGUUCUUUUUCAUUCUUUAGGACUCCUGAAUAUUACCCAAGAGAACCCCAACCCACAGUAGGUACUCUGGUCUCCUUGAGAGCUGCUUGUCCUUUUAUUUCCUCAUAGUGCUUAUCAUUUGGAAUUAAUACUUGGCUGCCCCUUUGAUUAACAUAAGUCUCAAUUAAUAGAUUCUAAGUUUCAUGAGGGUAGUGACCACACUGGUCUUGUGUAUCACAGUGGACUUAACAUCUAGCAUAGUGCUUGACACAAUAAUACCUGUUCACUGUAUAUUUGAAGAAAAACUAAAUCUACUGCACAGAUAGAAAUGGAAGACUUUCCAGAGGGAGGGUGGUGAUGAAAUGAUGAUGACGUCUGCUUGAAGUGUGAGAGGAGAGAAGGAAGUCUGCGGGAAGAGAGCAGAAGGAGGACACCAGUGAUAGGAAGUCCACGGGGAGAGUCCUCAGCUUUCCCUGGUGGCUUCUCGGAGGCAGAGUGUGGAGAGGUUCCCGACCCAAGUCCAUCUGAUACAACAGAUGUGCUUUCCCUCUGUAAUCUUCUCAGUCAUAACAAUAAUAAUGCCUUUGCUUAAAGGAACGCCAUCCCUAUGGAAGCAUGAAGCAGCAUGCCAGUGAAUGUUCAGAUUAGCCCACAGGUGGCUCUUAUUGGCAGCAACAAUUUGUAUAGAAGAGGAAAACAAGUCAAGGAAGAGUUGAUUUUUUUCUGUGCUGAAGGGUAAGGGAGACCCUUGGAAGGAAGGAAGCCAGCCAGGGAUUGUGGCAGGGAAAGAGGAUCUGUCUCCUGCUCUACCUCUUACCUAAUGGCCUCCAGGCUUCCAGCUUGGGCUGACUGGUCCCCCAAACCCUGAAAAAGAGUUCCUGCACUUCUCUCCUCCUCUCAGUGAGGUCUGGGGCCUGAAGCCUAAUGGCUGCCUUUUGGAUUAAGGUGUCCCAGAAAGUAAUAGCACUAUCACCACCAUUGGAAUGACUAAUACUGACAACAGCUAACACGGAUUGAAGUGCUUCCUAGGUACCAGGAACUAUUCUGAACUCUUAAGAGGUAUUUACUCACCUGUAAACUUGCACAUUGACAGAUGGGGAAACCAAGGCACAAAAUUUACCUUGUUCAAGACUACAUAGCAGAAGGUAAUAGAGCAGGGUUGUUGAAUGACUUUCUGAAUGGGGUGAAGUUCUACAAGCUCAGCUAGAAUACUGUCACUAGACUCCUUUGCUAUCAGCUCUUGAUUGGGGCUCAUCUCUUCUAGGGCAGCUCGACAGGAACUCCCAUCUAAAGCACUGUCAGAGGCAGAUCUUUUAUUAAUCCAAAUAGUCUCUGAAAUGCUGUUUGUGUUUGAAUCCUGGUCACGGAGGAACAGUUACCAGAGCUGGGGUGUUGUGUUGAUCUGUGAAAAUGCUGGGCAUAUUAUUAGCUAGAAUCAGAACAGUGAGAUUAGAUGUCUUAAGGUUGGGGAUAAUAUGCUUUAAAAAUAUCCCUCACGUUGUCACACCUUGAACCUGAAUUGAAUUGAAAAUCUCAUCUACAGUGGAAAUAGUCUCUUCAAGUGGUGUUGGAAAAGUUGGAUAGCUGCAUGUAAAUCAAUGAAGUUAGAACACACCCUCACACCAUACACAAAAACUCAAAAUCGCUUUUAAAGACUUAAAUAUAAGACAUAACAUCGUAAAACUCCUAGAAGAGAACACAGGCAGAACAUUUCUGACAUAAACUGCCAGUGUUUCCUUUGAUCAGUCUCCCAAGGCAAUAGAAAAGGAAACAAAUGGGACCUAAUCAAACUUAGAAGCUUAUAAAAGAUGUUCCUUAUUGCUAAUUAUACUAGAGAAAUGCAAAU